rnacentral:rRNA from 1 species
CAAGCGGUGGAGCAUGUGGUUUAAUUCGAUGCAACGCGAAGAACCUUACCUGGGCUUGACAUGUCCGGAAUCCUGCAGAGAUGCGGGAGUGCCCUUCGGGGAAUCGGAACACAGGUGCUGCAUGGCUGUCGUCAGCUCGUGUCGUGAGAUGUUGGGUUAAGUCCCGCAACGAGCGCAACCCUUGUCCUUAGUUGCCAGCGGUUCGGCCGGGCACUCUAGGGNGACUGCCGGUGACAAACCGGNGGAAGGUGGGGAUCGACGUCAAGUCCUCAUGGCCUUUAUGUCCAGGGCUACGACACGUAGCUACAAUGGCGCGUACAGAGGGACGCCAAACCGCGAGGUGGAGCAGA